rnacentral:misc_RNA from 1 species
CGUUGAGUUCCAACUCAAAUGGCAGAUUGUCCACUCCGAACAACCUUCAAAUUGGAGAUAGCAACCAAAAGUCUGUUGGCAAUAGCUUAGGUCUUGAAUGUUCAAAUAUAUCUUCCAAUCUUUCUAUUGAUUCUAGCAUAGUGUGUUUAUAUCGGUGCUGUCCUCAGUGCCUGCUGAACCUUCAGCGCACCUUGAAAAAAAUGCUUUCCUACGAGUGGGGACUUAAAAAGGCCGAGUUUAUAGUAGAGGAUGCUUAUGACUUUCUGGCCUCGUUAGCUGCAAAUCUUCAUUCGGCUUUGAGGGUAUGGUUGUUGGCUGAUGAUUCAACUUCAUUUGAUGAGAAGCGAGUACAAGAAAGGUACGGUGAAUCCUCUGAAUGCAAGAAAACUAACUUUUGUGAAUGUAGAAACUUAGAGAACAGGUUAAUCAAGCUGAUAGAAUGCAACUGCCAUUUGAAAAGCAGUGACCAAACUGAGAAAUGCAAAUCUUCUCAGAAUUUGUCUCAGGAUUUUAUAUUUAGAGAUGGUGUACUGACCAAUUUAGAUGAGAAGAAUGUCUCUACUCAUUGUAAAUUUGAG